AUGGCUGCAUUGAAUGGAUAUUUUGAUUGUGUGCAGCUUUUACUUGAUAUUCAUGCAAAUGUGUCAGCCGUGACAUUUCAUUAUGGAACAACAAUGGAUUUGAUAGGAGCUGGAAGCACUCCUUUGCACUAUGCUGCUUGUGGGGGAAAUUUGAAGUCUUGUCAGAUCCUUCUUGCAAGAGGUGCUGGUAGGAUGACAUUAAACUGCAAUGGGUGGCUGCCUGUUGAUGUUGCCAGGAUGUGGGGGCGUCAUUGGCUUGAACCAUUGUUGGCACCAAAUUCUGAUUCCACCAUACCAAGAUUUCCUCACUCUAAUUACUUGUCCUUGCCUCUUUUGAGCGUACUUAACAUAGCAAGAGAGUAUGGGAUGCAGUGUUUGACGUCCUCCUCUGAUGACCCUGAUAUUUGUGCUGUUUGCCUAGAGAGAGCAUGUAAUAUAGCUGCUGAAGGUUGCGGGCAUGAGCUUUGCGUAAGAUGUGCUCUGUAUCUUUGCUCAACAAGCAACAU
rnacentral:misc_RNA from 1 species